AUAGAAAACAAAUAAAAUAUAGACGACAGGUGGUGGAAGAUUAUAAUUUCGGAUUGUUUAGAGGGAAAGUAUUGCGGAUAGAAAAGUGUGAAAUAUUUCAGAAGUUUAAUUAAUUCAGAUAUUCAGAGCACUCACCGUGAUUCUAACCUAAAAAUAGAUAGAAGAAGCUGUUGAAGGUUCGGACAAAACAGCACCGCAGUGAAAGACUAGAUCUGUAGUCCGUCAAGGGUGUGCAAGAGCAGGGUUAAACCACUUAUUUUUGAGCUGCACGUAAGUGGCUGCUACAGAAAUUUGGAAAAAAAAUCGAUCCGAACAGAUAUCGUGAACUUGAAAGUUUAGAAGGGUACAAGUACGGUCGCGUGGCUU